rnacentral:tRNA from 1 species
GCCCGGAUGGUGGAAUUGGUAGACACACGAGACUUAAAAUCUCGCGGCCGUUAGGCCGUGCCGGUUCGACUCCGGCUCCGGGCA